CACAUGCAAGUCUACUUGAUCCUUCGGGUGAAGGUGGCGGACGGGUGAGUAACGCGUAAAGAACUUGCCUUACAGACUGGGACAACAUUUGGAAACGAAUGCUAAUACCGGAUAUUAUGGUUGGGUCGCAUGAUCUGAUUAUGAAAGCUAUAUGCGCUGUGAGAGAGCUUUGCGUCCCAUUAGUUAGUUGGUGAGGUAACGGCUCACCAAGACGAUGAUGGGUAGCCGGCCUGAGAGGGUGAACGGCCACAAGGGGACUGAGACACGGCCCUUACUCCUACGGGAGGCAGCAGUGGGGAAUAUUGGACAAUGGACCAAAAGUCUGAUCCAGCAAUUCUGGGGUGUGCACGAAGAAGUUUUUCGGAAUGUAAAGUGCUUUCAGUUGGGAAGAAGUCAGUGACGGUACCAACAGAAGAAGCGACGGCUAAAUACGUGCCAGCAGCCGCGGUAAUACGUAUGUCGCAAGCGUUAUCCGGAUUUAUUGGGCGUAAAGCGCGUCUAGGCGGCUUAGUAAGUCUGAUGUGAAAAUGCGGGGCUCAACCCCGUAUUGCGUUGGAAACUGCUAAACUAGAGUACUGGAGAGGUAGGCGGAACUACAAGUGUAGAGGUGAAAUUCGUAGAUAUUUGUAGGAAUGCCGAUGGGGAAG
rnacentral:rRNA from 1 species